rnacentral:rRNA from 1 species
GAUGAACGCUGGCGGCGUGCCUAAUACAUGCAAGUCGAGCGAACAGACGAGGAGCUUGCUCCUCUGACGUUAGCGGCGGACGGGGGAGUAACACGUGGAUAACCUACCUAUAAGACUGGGAUAAAUUCGGGAAACCGGAGCUAAUACCGGAUAAUAUAUUGAACCGCAUGGUUCAAUAGUGAAAGACGGUUUUGCUGUCACUUAUAGAUGGAUCCGCGCCGCAUUAGCUAGUUGGUAAGGUAACGGCUUACCAAGGCGACGAUGCGUAGCCGACCUGAGAGGGUGAUCGGCCACACUGGAACUGAGACACGGUCCAGACUCCUACGGGAGGCAGCAGUAGGGAAUCUUCCGCAAUGGGCGAAAGCCUGACGGAGCAACGCCGCGUGAGUGAUGAAGGUCUUCGGAUCGUAAAACUCUGUUAUUAGGGAAGAACAAAUGUGUAAGUAACUAUGCACGUCUUGACGGUACCUAAUCAGAAAGCCACGGCUAACUACGUG